GGACCAAGAGGCAUCUCUUUAUUUCCUCUUUUCUCAUCUAGUCAAUCAAUGAAUGCAAACCGGUUCUUGAAACUCUGUUGGUACGCCAGGACAAGAUGAGGAAUGUGUGAGCUUUGCGCUCGGAAGACCUUGAUCCCCUUGGCCUGGGCAUGCUGACAAGAGUUUCAAUGAUCGAUUCCUGUGCGUGAGACUGAAGCUAACAUUAAAGAAGGAACCUCUGAGCAUAGUGAAGAGUGUUUUACAGGUUUUGUUUCUCAAUCCCCUGCAAAUAGCAAGAACUGUGAAUACUGUUGCUACAACGCUACACCUAAUGAUCAGCUUAGUUGGGACUUCAUUGCCAGAAUGAACUGUUGGAAGAUGGCUUGGAUUAUGCGGUCAUGCUGUACAUGUUGCGAUGUUGCCCUGGAGCCAUACCGCAAUCAAAGUCCAAUGAGCAGCCGAACUGGGUGGAAAUCUAUGAAAAGACUGUUGAAGUAUUAGCUCCUGAAGUGAACAAGCUGCUUAAUAUCAUGUAUUUUCAGUGAAAAGCUAUUGAAAGAUUUUGUGCAGAGGUAAAAAGGCUGUGUCAUGCUGAAAAGAGGAAGGAUUUUGUGUCUGGAGCCUACUUGCUCACCCUAGGAAAAUUUAUCAGUAUGUUUGCGGUGCUAGAUAAACUGAAAUAAACUGAAAAACAUGAAAUCAUGUGUGAAAAAUGAUUAUUCUACCUAGUGUCGUGCCGCCCAGUUCUCGAAAGUUAUGGCAGAUUCACACACCCUGCAAGAGUCGCAGAAUUCAUCCAUGUUUCUUGCUUCACAGAACAAAAUUCGAGACACGGUGAAAGAGAAUUUGGAAAAAAUAAUCGGUUUCAAAGAGCUUCUGUCCGAUGUUGUCAAUCUGUGUGUGCACAUGUUCGAAACAAAAAUGUACCUGACACCCACCGAAAAGCACAUGCUGGUUAAAGUUGUUGGAAAAUCAGAAGCUACAUUUCGUUCGUGCGUUAGUUAUUCGCUUGGUUUUUGUCUGUUUUGCUAACUUAAUAAAUUGGAAGAUGCAAAUAUCCAGUUGGACGCGAAUAUUAAGUACAUUCCAAUGCGUGGGAGGAGGACAAGCUGGGGCCGUGGGCAUGUAGGACCACCCACCGAAAUAAUUGCUCCACAACCUGCACAGCAACCUCCACUGCAGCCUCUACCACAACCUCCACUGCGACCAGCACCUGCAUCGAUUCCUCCACAGGAGCCAUGAUGUCUGGGAGAAAUAACAAUCAGUUCCGAAGAGGAGCCGCCAUCCGCAGACACAUUGAGAACUGAUGCAGUAGAUUAUACGGGAUGCAGCUCUUGCGACAAGCCUGAUAACUAGAUGUUUGAAGCAGGCAGCCUAGGACACAGGUCUCGAAAGAAAAUGCCAACUAUUUUUGUUCCUCAAUGAUUACUUUUAGACUGGAUUGACGCUGCGCAAAACUGUUUUACUUCUCUCUUACUGCCCUUUUUAAACAAUAUAUAUAUAUAUAUAUAUAUUUUUAAAAAUUUAAUGUCAUUUUGUUUACUUGCUAAUUUUAAUAUUCAGUUAUUAGUGUUUGAAUGCGUCAGUGAGUUGCUAGUGUAACACUGAUUUUUGUUCCUAUUUUCGGAAACUUGAAUAAAUUUCAUGCACUCAUGUAAACAAGCUCGUUCUUAGACUAACAGUGCAAAUAUGGCAAAUUUCACCUGAGCCUUUCUUUAGCAUGUUCAACCCAUAUUUUGUACUUGUAUCCCCUUGAAAUAUCAUUACGUUAGCAAGUCAACAGGGAAUUACUGAUUUUUUGUUUUGUUUUCAAGAACUUAAAUCAAUUUUCUUUUUUCUACUACCUUAUGUCUAUUUAUCAACAUCUUUUUUUCCAUACACCAUUUUUUCUCAUGACUAAUAUUAGUGAGUGAAAUAUUUUUUCAUGUGUGUUUUAAAUUUCUUCCAGUCAUUUAUUGACUAAUAAUAGUCGCAUUUUGUUCCUGAA